rnacentral:rRNA from 1 species
CAGCAGCCGCGGUAAUACGUAGGUGGCAAGCGUUGUCCGGAAUUAUUGGGCGUAAAGGGAGCGCAGGCGGCUUAGUAAGUCUGAAGUUAAAGGCAUUGGCUCAACCAAUGUAUGCCUUGGAAACUGUUAGACUUGAGUGCAGAAGGGGAGAGUGGAAUUCCAUGUGUAGCGGUGAAAUGCGUAGAGAUGUGGAGGAACACCAGUGGCGAAGGCGACUCUCUGGUCUGUAACUGACGCUGAGGAGCGAAAGCGUGGGGAGCGAACAGGAUUAGAUACCCGCGUAGUCCCUGUCUCUUAUACA